GAAACUAAAGCUAAACCAACUUAAACCAAUCUAGCCUAACCGAUAUAUGAUCUCUAAAACUCCCCCUCAAGAUGAAAGUAUCAAGGAACUUUCAUCUUGGACUUGAAAACUCCAUUAGUGUAUCCUCCAUAACCUUCUCGAUGAGAGAAACAUUCAUGUGAACUUGAUAGAUCUUAUUUGACGUGAGUGGCUUGAAUCCAAGAUGAGCUUGAUAAAACUGGUGAGUAUUACAAGUAAAGAAUACUGCUCAAAGAAACUGGAAGUCUCCAUGGUUUUGUAGCAAAAAAAAAAAACAUCAGGAACCAGCCAUAGGAGUAACAAGCCGUAGACAAGUGAAGGAUCUUAUCUCUUUUAACCAAGCAUCCUCUUUCCAAAACCAAAUUCAACUAACCAUCAACCACAAACCAGCCUCUGCAAUGACCUUUCGCUCAUCAAGAGAAAGUUAAACAAACCAGAGAUGUGUAAACUACAAUGUUUCAUAGCCAAAUAGAAACCCAAAACUUCCUCUGGUUUGGACCAGAACUUGGUGAAGGGAUGCUUGCGGAUAUAUCCGGCCAUGAAAAUAUCAGUUGAAAACAAACCAGAAUUUAACACACAACUGCAGUAAGUGAGCAGCUUCUCUAGUCUUCCCAUACAUUCUUGAACUUGAGAAUGAAACUUGGAAUAACAAAGACAAGCCAGCAAGUCAACAUUGCUUAGAUGAUACUUCCAUCUUCUUAAUCAACUCUGUAAGUCCUUGAAAUCCAUGCUUGAUGUGCAUGACAAACAGUUGAUCAACACACAACACCUCAAUAAAGGCACAUCCAUCUUCUGUUUCGACAAGGAGGCUUAACAACAGGUAACAUUAUGGCACCAAGUUCACAAAAAAUAGUGAAACCAGAACAAUUGAAGAUCAUAAUCAUCGCUGCCAUGAACCAGAAUAACCAAAACAUUGGGAUUACUUGAUUGUAUCUCCCCCUAUCUUAGAACAGAUCCAGAUGAUCAAAUUCUUAAUAACUAUCAAA
rnacentral:lncRNA from 1 species